CCUCCUUCGUUGAGAGGGUUUGGUUCGCAGAGACAAAGCCCUGGCUUCAGUUUGUUUCUAACCAGCUGGUUGGGGGGCAGCCAUGGGUUGAUGGAGAUUUUAGCGGAUUUGAUUUUCUUAAUGGGGAACAAAUAUUUGAGGUUUUAAUUUUCCUUUGGUUAAGCAUUUUCACUUAAACAACGCGCACGAAGCACCCAGCAACAAACACCUCAUAUCAAUAUAACAAAGAUUGUGGUGAAGAUUCGAAUAUGUUGGGGCUUCCAUCUUUUCUACACCCUUCGACUCAGGCUUCCAUCUUUCUUCCUUGCGAAUAUUUGCAUCGUUUGUCUUCAGGUUCUUGAGUAAUCCCUAUUGCUGUAUAAGAGAAGUUGAGGUAUUUAAAUUUCAGAACAUAUUGGGUUCUAUCAGGAAGGGAAUUGAAUCUCACAGAUUAGCUCAGGGUGUUAAAAGGUUCUUAAGGGAAAGGCCAUCCAUGGUUGAAGAAGGGCAAUGGAUAUACCAUACACCCACCUAAAUGAGCAAAGGAAGAUUGAUGUAACAAUUAGCAGGGAGUUGCUAUAGGAUUCUAUGCAAUGAAGUGUUUCCACUACUUCAACAACAAAAUAAAUGAGGUGGGAACGAAGAUUGCUGCAUAAUUGAAAGAACAGAGGAAAUCUGAUUAUUCAGGAGCUGAAUAUGGUCAUUAAGUCUUCAUGCUCAACAAAAUCACCCCACUCUGUAAACCGGAAUUUGUAUGAAGUUAGGUUUCAAAUAUGUUAAUGAGAUAUGAGUACAUGCUGUUUUGUGUAGUAUCCUGAUAUUUGUAGGUAUUUUUAAUGGCGAUUUUAUAUGGUUAAUUUUACUUAAAAAUA